GAAAUCAUGGCUUAAAUGGUAAAGCAUCUGCCUAGAAGGCAGCAAGGUCCUGAAUUCA
rnacentral:tRNA from 1 species